rnacentral:rRNA from 1 species
UGGGGAAUUUUGGACAAUGGGGGGAAACCCCUGAUCCAGCCAUCCCGCGUGUGCGAUGAAGGCCUUCGGGUUGUAAAGCACUUUUGGCAGGAAAGAAACGUCGCGGGUUAAUACCCCCGCGAAACUGACGGUACCUGCAGAAUAAGCACCGGCUAACUACGUGCCAGCAGCCGCGGUAAUACGUAGGGUGCAAGCGUUAAUCGGAAUUACUGGGCGUAAAGCGUGCGCAGGCGGUUCGGAAAGAAAGAUGUGAAAUCCCAGAGCUUAACUUUGGAACUGCAUUUUUAAACUACCGGGCUAGAGUGUGUCAGAGGGAGGUGGAAUUCCGCGUGUAGCAGUGAAAUGCGUAGAUAUGCGGAGGAACACCGAUGGCGAAGGCAGCCUCCUGGGAUAACACUGACGCUCAUGCACGAAAGCGUGGGGGAGCAAACAGGAUUAGAUACCCUGGUAGUCCACGCCCUAAAACGAUGUCAACUAGCUGUUGGGGGCCUUCGGGCCUUGGUAGCGCAGCUAACGCGUGAAGUUGACCGCCCUGGGGAGUACGGUCGCAAGAUUAAAAACUC